UGUGUGUGUAUCCUGUGUCUGUGUGUGUGUGUAUCCUGUGUGUGUGUGUGUGUGUACCCUGUGUGUGUAUCCUGUGUCUGUGUCUGUGUGUGUGUGUUAGUGUGCGUGCGUGCGUGCGUGUGUAUAAGUAAAACUCCACAAACCAGAGUGUGUGGCUGUGUGUGAGGCUGGAGUGGUUCUUCCGGUCGUCGUCUGGUUCUUCUCGCUACGGUUGCUCAAACUCUGAGCUCAACAUGAUGGCCGCCACACUAACAGAAUAAAUACUGGUUCCCCACUGAGCUGAUGAUCCUCAUUUUUGUAAGCGGGAGUUUCAUGAGGUCAGACUACACUUUUAUCUGGUACGUCAAGGCUUUAAGUCUAAUUUGAAUUGAAAAUAUUUGUUAUUGUUUUAUUUUACUCUUGAAUACCCUUUAUUAUUUUGUCUUGUACAACGCUCUAACUCAGUCCAGCUGAUCGCUUGUGGAUUAAAUUAAUACAUUUCACACCCGUCAGCUUUGUUGUUCUUGAUCUGUAACAACCUCACAGACAGAGUGUGAUUUUAGUUUUGACUUCUUGUGUUAAAUGAAAGUGUGAGUCUGUCACUCGGUUCACAUCUGUCUGUUUGUGCACUAUUUAGCAGAAGAUAUGCACACUUGUGCAACACCAGCGUCUCCACAGGCUGCACAGCGUGAUCCACCAUAAAGAUCAUAUCAGUGGUCACGGCCUCCAGAACAACAAAUGAGUCUGGAUCAGAGGCUGCGUUAGGCCGGACUCUGAUCUCCUAAAACCCAGUUUCUGGCUCACCUGAAAUGAAGAGGUCCAUCCAGGCCUUCUGGUGAUCCGCCACCAGCUCGUCCACGCUGGCCCUCAGCAGCUCCCCCAGCUCCUUCUUGGCUCCGUC